rnacentral:rRNA from 1 species
GGGCCCGCACAAGCGGUGGAGUAUGUGGUUUAAUUCGAUGCAACGCGAAGAACCUUACCAGGGUUUGACAUCCUGCGAAUCUCUUGGAAACGAGAGAGUGCCUUCGGGAACGCAGUGACAGGUGGUGCAUGGCUGUCGUCAGCUCGUGUCGUGAGAUGUUGGGUUAAGUCCCGCAACGAGCGCAACCCACGUCGUUAGUUGCCAGCAUUUAGUUGGGCACUCUAGCGAGACCGCGAGGUUGAGCGAAUCCCAUAAAGCCGGUCUCAGUUCGGAUUGGAGUCUGCAACUCGACUCCAUGAAGUUGGAGUCGCUAGUAAUCCCAGAUCAGCAACGCUGGGGUGAAUACGUUCCCG